ensembl:lncRNA
CAGCGAUCACGCUCCUUGUGUGGAGCUGGCGCGUGCGCCUGUCGCAUCUUCAGUCUUUUUUCGUCCCCUCCCCUCCCCUUCUCCACUCUCCCUGCAUCUCUUCAUCCCCUUUCCGUUUGAGACAGAUCUAUCUCCUUACUUCCUGUUAUCUUAGGAAGAGUGCACCGCCUUGCCAGGAUUUAAUUUGUGUUAUGUUUAGUGAGUAUUUGCAGAGAGCUGCCUGUGUGUCCGGCCUGGUGGGGAAAGAGGACCCAAGUGUGGUCCACCCGCAGCUGCUCGGAGGCUGGGAGUAGCGUGUGAUCCAGCAGUGCCUCUGAGAUCCCCAAGCGCUCGGCCCCUGUGAACCUUCUGCUCUACGGUGGUCACGGCCCAGGCUGCUGGAGGGAGUUAGGAGUCGCCCGCUCCUCCUUCUGCCCUCCUGCGCGCUCCCCUGGGGCUGCAUGGGGAGCCCCACCCUCUGCCAGGGAAGUCUGUGCCUUGAGGUGCAGAGGACACCUGGGGCUGAGACAGUGACUCAUGUGUGCCCUGGGGCCAAGUUACUUCAUCUCCUCUGUUCUUCCUCUUUCAGAAUCUCGCAGCUAUAAAGGAUCGGUGGUGCGGUUACUGCAGAGCUGUAACGCGCCUGUGCACGCACGUGUGCGCGUGUGCGCUGGCCUUGCUGUUUAAUAGGGUGCUAAGGCAGCGGGGGGCUGCGCGGCCGCCCCCAGCCCCUCACGUGUGGCUCUCAUUACUGUCGGAGGCGUCAGCUCGGCCGUCAUUAGGAGCGGUUCCCACAUCCCAGCGCCUGCGCCCUGGCUUCGUGGCAGGGAGCCCAGGCGGGCCAAGCAGCCAGGCAUCGAAGGGACUCGGCGGGUUUCCACUUGGCUGAGCAGAAGAUGAAUGAGGCUCUGUCCCCCACAUGGGGUCUGGAAUCUUCAAUUACGGCAAUUACAUCAACAGGCCCUCCGCUGGAGAGGUCUGGGCUUCAGAGAAAACUCCUAAAGCCACUGGAUUUUCCCUUUCUUUUAACGGCACUGGGUUGAUGAAAGGAGACCCCAGCUCCCGUCUAAUUGGGCCCUGGGUGGCGAAGGAGGGUGGUCGUGAUUUCUCACAGGAUCUGGUGCUUUGUCUCAGGAUCUCCAGUCCACGGAGCCUCAGGACAUCGGGAUGGCCCUUGUUUGGUGUCAGAAGACCCGGCUCCAGUCACUUUGCCUCUCUGAUCCUCAGUGCCCACAUCUGUAAAAUGGGCAUAGUGCAUACCAAGACCCCCUCCUCCUAAGGCCUCAGAGACUCCGAACGCUACCCAGAUCCAGACCCACUGGCAGCAGCAACCACCCGUGGCUCUCAGCAGGAGAACACACGCUCCGGUGCACCCCAAAGGGGCAGCUUCCACCCUGGAGCAGCAGGAGUGGUUCCUGAGGGGCUUCUCGUCAUGAAGGCUCUGCCUGGCCGAGGCCGAGGCACCCGGCGUGGACAGGCGGCCUCAGUGUGGUGACACCAGGGUUUCUUCUCAACACAGCUCUCUGAGAAAGGGAUCCUGACCUGGCCGUGUGCAACAGCAGCACUCCAUGGGACCGGCCCUGGGCGGGGGAGAGCAGAGAGUUGUGAACCGCAGAAGGGAGGUGACGCCCCUCGCAGCUGCCCACGCUUUUCCAGCCCCAGGACAGCACACUGCCACUCCUACCUGUGAGCAGGGUGCAGCUGUGGACUCCUUGCCGGGGCCUUUAGGAAAGGAAAUGUGAAAUAACUGGGGCUGUGAGUCCCUGCCCCAUUCCUCACCCUAACCUGGGAGGCAGCGAUGAUGCUAACUCUGCACAGACACCAGGCCUGCGCGCUCACACGAUCCCACGCUCAAGGCCGCCGUCCCCUGGGGCAGUGGAGCUCUGCAGUGCGUCAGCAGUCAGCAGCUUGUGCUUGGCAACCACCUUGCUCCUUGGAUUUACUGUUCUCAUUAAGGCCAGCUCCAGACCCGCCAGAGGCAGGGCGCCCUGCGCAUGUGCAGCCAGCCUUGAAGGCUCCCUAAGCCUGUGCAGGUCCCCUGAGGGGCAGAUGGGAUCUGACCACGUUACCCAGGCUGGUUUUGAAUUCCUGGCUUCCUGAGUAGCUGGGACCACAGGCACACACUGCCAUGCCUGGCUACUAUGCUGUCCGAUCCCCAGGAUGUGAGCAUCUGAGAAUCUUGGUGUCUGCAGGGGCCCUGGAGCUCCUCCAAAUACCAAGCGUCUCAAUGUAUCAUUCAGGCUGUUCUUGAACUCAUGAGAUAAUCCAGGCUGGGCUUGAACUUGCAGUGAUCCUCCUGCCUCAGCCUCCGAGCACUGUGAUUCCAGGUCUACGAUCGAAGGAGCCAGCUCCAAACCUUCCCUGCUGUGCUGGGAGCCUCCUGCUGCCACGGGGAGUGAAGAGCACUGAGGAAUGACAGAGCAAGAGGCAGGGACCUCAGAGCACCCAAGUCCGGCAUGGUGAUCACCAGCUGCCAAAUCCAACGUGGCUACGAAGGCAAAGUACUCUGCAGCUGACUCAACUGGAAGGCACAGGGAGGGUAAGAUGUCAACUGCAGUUUGAAGAUUUAAUUUAAAAACGUAAAAACAUCUUAUAAAUUAAUAAUUUUUUUAUGUUUGUUACAAAUUGAAACUAUCAUAUUUUAAAUGUAUUGGUUAAGUAAAUAUAUCAUUGAAAUAAAAGUUCGCC